AGAAACUCAGUGAGUAGAUCAAUGGGCUGACAGGCAGAAAAUCUCCAGGAACUGCCAGGCAAGCCCCAGAAACAAAAUGGGUCUGAUGUCAUGCAAGGUUUGCCAUCAACCUAGGCAAGUCAGUGCUGGACAACUGCCCUCCGCUCAGCUCAGCAGACUGCUAAACUGAGAGUCAAAGCCAAGAAAGAAGCUAGGGCAACGGUGGACCCCAGAGACAGAUAAAUUCAGAUUUCCAAUCCAAGCCAUGAAAGGUUUUGUGGUAGUUCCCUGGCUAGAGACAGGUUUGCUAUGGUUUAGACACCUGGCCAAUUGCUUAGAAUCUAGAUGUAAUCAUUAAAUGAAUACUUCAUGAGCACCCACCAGGUGAUGGGCAUCAUGCCAGGAACCACAGAUGAAGAACCAGACAGACGACCUCCUGCCUUCACGUACCUUGAAUUAUGUAAAUUUUGUCUUCUAUAUCUGGAACUCACGUGUGCUAUUUUUUGAUCAGCAGAUUUAGUGUGGCCAUUUCUACUUUCCCAUUGUGGUGAUCAGACAGCAG
rnacentral:lncRNA from 1 species